GACGAACGCUGGCGGCGUGCCUAAUACAUGCAAGUCGAACGAACCGCGACUAGGUGCUUGCACUUGGUCAAGGUGAGUGGCGAACGGGUGAGUAACACGUGGGUAACCUACCUCAUAGUGGGGGAUAACAGUCGGAAACGACUGCUAAUACCGCAUAGGACAUAGGAUCACAUGAUCCAGUGAGGAAAGGUGGCGCAAGCUAUCGCUAAGAGAUGGACCCGCGGUGCAUUAGCUAGUUGGUAGGGUAAAGGCCUACCAAGGCGAUGAUGCAUAGCCGACCUGAGAGGGUGAUCGGCCACAUUGGGACUGAGACACGGCCCAAACUCCUACGGGAGGCAGCAGUAGGGAAUCUUCCGCAAUGGACGCAAGUCUGACGGAGCAACGCCGCGUGAGUGAAGAAGGUCUUCGGAUCGUAAAGCUCUGUUGUUAGAGAAGAACAGCGCAUAGAGUAACCGUUAUGCGUGUGACGGUAUCUAACCAGAAAGCCACGGCUAACUACGUG
rnacentral:rRNA from 1 species